ensembl:lncRNA
CGGCCACUCACCCCGCGCGGGGGGCGCGAGCUGGGGGCGCCGGGGCCGGGCGCAGCGCGCUCCGCAGCAUCUCCGGGUGUGCGCGUCCGCGCGCCCGGGUUGGCGACCGUCGCCGCGCGAGUGCGGGGGAGGCUCCCAGCCGGGCUCGGCAGCCCGCUGAAGGGCAGGCACGGCACCGGGACAAACGGGGUUCAAGUCGCACUCAGCAACACGCAGGAUCCUUGCUCCCUGAUCAAGGACUGAACCCAGGCCCCCUGCAGUUAGAAGCAUGGAGUCCUAACCACUGGACUGCCAGAGCUUCAAACUCUGGUGGCUCAGACGGUAAAGAAACCGCCUGCAAUGCAGGAGAACCAGGUUUGAUCCCUGGGUCAAGAAGAUCUCCUAACAAGGGAAUGGCUGCCCACUCCAGGAAAUCCCAUGAACAGAGGAGUCUGGCGGGCUACAGUCCAUGGGGCCGCAAAGAGUCGGACUCCACUGAACACACAGACACGCACUCAGACAGCCAUCAGUGCCAUCCUGUGAGGCAUGGAGGAUCUUAGUUCCCUGACCAGGGAUUGAACCUGGGUCUCCUGCACUGGGAGUGUGGAGUCUUAGCCACUGGAUGACCAGGGAAGUUCCUACUUUUCAUUUCUAGAAGUUCUACCGAAGUUUUUUUUCCCCCAUCUUCUAGGUAAUUCACACUGCUGCUGCUGCUAAGUCGCUUCAGUCGUGUCCAACUCUGUGUGACCCCAUAGAUGGCAGCCCACCAGACUCCCCCAUCCCUGGUAUUCUCCAGGCAAGAACACUGGAGUGGGUUGCCAUUUCCUUCUCCAAUGCAUGAAAGUGAAAAGUGAAAGUGAAGUCGCUCAGUCGUGUCCGACUCUUAGUGACCCCAUGGACUGUAGCCCACCAGGCUCCUCCAUCCAUGGGAUUUUCCAGGCAAGAGUACUGGAGUGGGGUGCCAUUGCCUUCUCUGGUAAUUCACAGUUACCUAGUAAUUUCCCCCUGUAGUUUCCCAUUUGUCUUUUAUGCCAUUAACCAUGACUGUUUUAGUCCAGCUGUGACACUGGAAGACUUUUUGAACCUGUUUCUGUCAGUUGCAUCUGCUGGUCCCCACUGUUGUUCAUCUCUCACUGGACAUCAGUCGGUCUCCUUGGACAGUCAUUGGUGGGUUGAGCCCAGGAUGACUGACUUUCCUCCAGAGAAUGUGUGUUUGCUCCUCGAGGGCAGUGGGGAGGACUGCAAGCCCAGGAAGCCCUAAGGACUGAGGUCACGGCAGGCAGAGUCCCGGGGUGACCAGUGCUGUCAACCCAGGGUGAGGACUUGCCCCGCCCCUCACUUCUUAGGAACCAGACUCCCCUUUGGCUUUUCCCAGGCUCCACUCAGCUCGAGGGCAACAUUCCCUGCCGUCUUCUGUUCUUCUUCAAGGUAUAUACCAGGGGUUCCAGCAGAACGGAGAGUGGGUCUCCUAGUAGAUCCCCACUUGAGCCCUUCAUCCUUGGGGCCCUCAGGGGCACAGGUGCCUUUGUGCCCCUUACCUGCUUUCGCUUACCAUCUGCCCUGGAUCUUAUCUUUGGCCGUGCCGCGUCUUUGUUGCUACACGUGGACUUUCACCAGCUGCGGUGAGCGGGGCCUACCCCCUAGUUUCAGCACGCGGGCUUCACAUUGUGCUGGCUUCUCUUGUUGUGGGGCACAGGCUCUAGGUGCCAGGGCUUCAGUAGCUGCAGCGCAGGAGCUCAGCAGUUGCGGUUCCUCGACUCUAGAGCACUGGCUUAAUAGUUGUGACGCUCAGGCUUAGUUGCUCCUCGGCAAGUGGGGUCCCCCCGGCCCAGGGAUGGAACCUGUGUCUCCUGCAUUGGCAGGCGGAUUCUUUACCACUGACCCCCCAGGGAAGUCCCUGAGCUGGAUGUUCUUUAUAACCCGCUGGUUUGUCAGUAGGUCAUUGUAUGUUUUCCAGUGUUUUAAAUUAAAGCAGAAGUGUUGGCUGAAAAAUCUAACCCAUCACUACCAGAAAUAGAAGUUCUAAAAUGCACUUAAAAAACUUACUUGUAAUUAGACAAGUAACAUGUGAAUACACCAUCCUUAUAAAAACAAACUGUGUGUGGUUAUCGGCUGGUACGUAUGCCAGACCCAGGCUUCUUUUACUUACAGGAGUCAGGGACUAAUUCAGUCUUGUCCUUCCUUACGACUCAGAAUAUUUUUUAAAAUUGAGUUAAAAAAUAAAAAUUGAAACUUUAAAACUGUGUAGACAAGGAAAGGCCUCCUUUGGCUGUCACCCAACGUCCAUUAUCUUCCCCAGAGGUUUCCACUGUUUUUGGCUUAGUACAUACCAUUUAAAAAAUAUACUUAUUUAUUAGGCUGUAUUUACUUAUUUGGCCGUGGCAGAUUUUUGAACUGACGCAGGGAUCAACCCAGUGGAAGCAUGGCAUCUUAACCCCUGGACUGCCAGGGAAGCCCCUCUUUUCUAUGAAUUUUCUGUUCAUUUCCUUCACUCAAUUUAAAAAUUGGAAUGUCUUUGGAUCAGUGGGUAAUUUCUUAUACAUUCUGUGUAGUUUGUUUCCCCUGAUGCCUAAUAUUUUCUUAUGUAUCAAUUUUUAAUGGAUGUAAAACACCAUUGUAAAGAAAAAAAAAGAUGGUGCAAGUGCCUGGCACAUAAUUACUUAACAGGAGGCCCACCCAUCAUUUGUAAUUGCCCACAUACUGCUAAAAAUACCACAGAAGAAAUCUGUGCCUCUAGUGGCUUUGUUUCCUACCUCUUUUCUUUUUUUUUUUUUUUGCAAAAUCACCUGAAGUCUGAGUGGAGCUGAGACUAUGUAGCCCUGGAGAUAAAUGGUGACGCCCACCUUCUGGGACACAGCCAGGUUCAGAGGCCCUCUAAUCAGGAAGUGAUAGGAGAGCCCCUUUUGCACCCUUUACAGAAACACUCGGUAUCAGAGUUGACAGCAAGAACCAGCG